rnacentral:misc_RNA from 1 species
AAAAAAAAAAUUACUAUGGCUGUCUUAGGUCUCUUCUUCUUUCUUUUCUUUAUCAAAAUAUCACAUACCGUUCAACUCUGCGAGGAUUCCUGCAGUCCUAGAGGCCCAGAGGUUCGAUUCCCUUUCGGGCUUGACGGCCGUGGAUGCAACUACCCAGGUUUCAAUCUUUCCUGUAAUGAAACAGGCCAAACAAUCCUCAAUCUCCCUCGCUCCGGAAACUUCAUCGUCAAAUCCAUCGAUUACCGAAAUCAAGAGGUUCGGAUUACAGACCCUGGACACUGCUUCGCACAGCGCCUCCUCAACAAUUUUAGUCUGUCGGGAUCAUCUUUCGAUACUGUCUCUUAUAAAGCCUUCUCGUUCCUUAAUUGCUCAUCGAAUUUCUCCGACUUCUUUGUGUCCUUCCCUUCUUCGUCAAGGAGGAUUCACUGUCUUAGCGACAAAAACUUCACUAUUGUGGCUAUACCUACCUUUUAUGAAGGAUACGUACCGCAGAUACCGUCGUGUACGGUGAAGGCGCAAAGGGUUAAAGUUCCGGUCUAUUGGCCUCUCUCUUACGAAGGGGAUGCCUCGUUGAUAUGGGAUUUUCCGGAUUGUGUAGAAUGCGAACUGAGCGGUGGGAAUUGUGGGUUCAAAGAUGCUUCGACUCUUGAAAUUGGAUGCUUUAAUCUACCAAGCAAUGCCCAUGGUCUCCCACGGAGUGCAAAAUAUGGUAUAAUAAUAGGCGUUGGAAUACCAGCACUUCUGUGCAUAAUUGGGUUGGGUUGUUACUUGUGUGGCAGAAUCAGGAAUUAUAGCCGAAGACACCAGUCCAGCGCACAUGUCACCACCACCUUUGCGCACACACCAAGCAUUUCGAUAAGUGGACUGGACGGACCAACCAUAGAAUCAUACCCUAAAACUUUACUGGGCGAAAGUCGACGAUUGCCUAAGCCUAAUGACAACACUUGCCCGAUAUGUUUAUCCGAGUAUCAACCUAAGGAGACAUUAAGGACUAUACCUGAAUGCAACCAUUAUUUCCAUGAUGCUGAUUGUAUCGAUGAAUGGCUUACAAUGAAUCCGACAUGUCCUCUGUGUCGAAAUUCACCGGAGGUUUCCUCCACAGCUACUACCCCUUCUUCGUCAUCAUCG